rnacentral:rRNA from 1 species
ACGGAAGGCAGCAGUGAGGAAUAUUGGUCAAUGGGCGGAAGCCUGAACCAGCCAAGUCGCGUGAAGGAUGAAGGUAUUAUGUAUUGUAAACUUCUUUAGACGUAGAGAAAUAAGCGGGACGCGUCCCGCGAUGCUAGUAUACGUAGAAUAAGGAUCGGCUAACUCCGUGCCAGCAGCCGCGGUAAUACGGAGGAUCCGAGCGUUAUCCGGAUUUAUUGGGUUUAAAGGGUGCGCAGGCGGUCUUUUAAGUCAGUGGUUAAAGCGUGGAGCUCAACUCCAUCCCGCCAUUGAUACUGGAGGACUUGAUUGCGGUCGAGGUUGGCGGAAUUCGCCGUGUAGCGGUGAAAUGCAUAGAUAUGGCGAAGAACUCCGAUUGCGUAGGCAGCUGACCAGGCCGUAAAUGACGCUCAUGCACGAAAGUGCGGGGAUCGAACAGGAUUAGAUACCCUGGUA